AACACGCCGGCGGCCCGCGCCCCUCUCCUGCGUCCUGCGCCCGGGUCUCGGGAAAAGGAACUGGCACCACUCCCGGUUCCAAGGCCAUUCCCCUGCCCCCACCUCUGGGAAAGCCCCCCUUCCCCGACUGGAGGGGGGGCGCGGGAGACCUUGCGAGACGACUGUUCCCCGGCUUCCCCGCGUGGCAUCGGAGAGGAACGUGGGUGGUUUUUCCGUCCGAGGCCUGACCACACUCCCCCACUCUUCCAGGCCUCGGACCUGAACCUCAUGGACUCCGGGUGGGGGGCCAUUUCGGGCCACUCCGGGGGGGAGACCAAAGUCAGGCGUCCUCAAGGGCUCUGGCGGAUGGCCAAGUUUGUGUCCUUUCCCUCCCACGCCGGAGUAGCGCGCGCCACUUUGGAGAAGCGUCGCUAGUUGGGCAACCUGAAAUGAGGACAAGUUUCACUUCAAGUUACCUGAAAGUGAACUUUCGCCUUUCCAAUUUGAUUCCUCCAACAUCUGUUGAAUGGCUCUCGGUCCUGGUCUGGAGGGACCAGCAGGACCCUGUGACCUCAACUUGUGGCCAGCCCAGGUUGGAAGCAUCAGGUGAUUUCCAAGGAGGCCACAGACUUCCAUCCCACGUGGCCAGGUCGUAGCAGAGAGCAGCCUUGCCGAAACUCACUUACCCCUUGUGCAGGGGGGCCUGGUGACAAGUGAUGCUGAACUGGAGGUUCGGGAUGCUAAUUUUAUUUAUUAUCUGUGUACAGCUUGGGGAGGAGAAAAGGCUCAUAAAAGUGUUCUAGGCUGGUCAUUCUGAAUGUGAACAUUUAUUUAUCUGCAAAACUGCCGAAUGUCCCCGCAGGAAGUCGCGGGCGCAGCAACCCCUGACUGCACAGACAAAAGUCUCCCCUUUACACAGGGCUGCUUUUAUUGUUUCCAACAGCUUUGUGCUUUCCCUGGGGGAAAAGGAGAGUCACAUAGCGAGUUUUCUUCCUCUUUUCUCACGCUGCAGAGGAAGUGAUGUUGUGGAAACAGUGGCAUUAACUUGGCUUGCAAAGCGCAUCGGAGCCAGAGUUGGGAAAAGCUCGUGCCAGGUGGCAUUCCUAUGGCUUUCCUCCUCCAAGCCCCAAGAAAGCCCAGCCUGGGUCUGAGCAUGGGGAUGGAGUGCACACACAGGUGGCACAAAGCCAGAGGAGCCAUAUUUG
rnacentral:lncRNA from 1 species